AGUUAAUUUGAAACGCAUUUUUUUAUAAGUUAGCAGCUAUUAUCAUGCAUAUUCAGAGUUGUUUUGUGAACUUUCAACAUUCUACUAUUAAACUACAAAAAAAUGGAAGAUUUUGCAACGAAUAUAAAACUUAUAUUGAGCGUCGAAAGAUUUUCCCGGUUUUUUCCCGAUUCGCCUUUCAAUCCCUAAUCGCCCCAUUUUACCGGUACCUACCUUAUUGUCAUAGCUCUCAAAAUUCUCAAUUAUAAGUGUAUAAUCGAAGGUUAUAGCUUAUUGUAGUUUGUUUCAAUUAUUUGUAAUAGUGCCUAGACUUGGCACUAUUACAAAUAAUUGAGGUGCGACGGUGCAGUAUUAAGGCCAAUGCGCAAUCUAUUUAUCGUGGUGAUAAAGUCUCGGCUGGCUUCUUUCAAUAUAGUGUACCCGAGUCUAACAGGAAACUCGUCAUAGGAAUGUCCAUUGCAUUUUUAACAUCAGCAGCAUUAUUACCCUCAUAAGCGGUUUUAUCAACUAUUUGAUUGCCAGCGAUACCUCGGUGAGAAGGUACCCAAAAGAAAGGAGUUUUGAUAUGCUUAAGAUAACAUUGAUAAAUUAUUUCUUUAAUAUAAUACAAAAUGAGGCCUAUAAAAUCAAAGGUAGCUAAAUCCAAUUCUGUCAAAUAUUGAGGUAAACUACAAAAAUUGGCCCUAAACACGUCAUUACGGACCCUCCUGAUCCAUCGAAGUGCUCUUGCUAGGGCCAGUGUUAGAAACACUCCUGGUUGAGAAACUGAAAUAACUUUGUUCGGGUAGGUAUGAUAUUCUUUAUUUUAAAGCAGAUUUAUAAAGAAUGAGAAUAUUACUAAUAAUCUGAAUUUUAAAUGAUAAAGCUUUGUUUAUAUUUGAGUACAGAGUAAAAAUUAAAAUUUUGAACUGAAUUUGCUAGAUUUAUUGCAUUUGUUAUAACAUGAAAAUACUAAAGCGUGUCCAACUAACUAAACAAGAUGGCGCCAUAGUUAAUCCAUUUCACUACACUAUGGCGUUUAGCUGCCUUUCAUUUUAUAGGCCUCAAAUAUAAUUAGACUUAAAUGAAAUCUUAAAGUUAGUUAAUGCUUUUAUCAAACUCUGUGACUCAGAAACAAUAAAAAUCAAAAAAUAUUUACAAUUGUUAAUUUGGCGAAUAUGUAAUAAUGUCUGAUAAACCACUUAAGCCUCUGCAGUGAAUAUACUACAAGUAUUGUGCAGAACAAAGCUUUGAGAGAAUUUUGCUUGUGGAUUGUAUUAUUGAUAUAGUACCACAUACAUAAUCACGCCCUUACCCCGCCAUCAGUGUACAUACAUACAUACGUACAUAAUAAUUCUUAUUUUCUGCUAAAAACUGCAACAUAUCUAUAUGCUAUAUAAGUUAUUAUUAAUGGAAUUUUGUAAUUCAAUUGGAUGUGAAAUACAGUGAUAGGUGAAGGUGUAAUGUAACAUGGCCAUGUGCACUGUUUCCUAAUACCAGUAAAACUAUUUUCAGCUUCCAGCCAUAUGUUAGAUAGUGUUGGAGAUUUUCCACUUAAGAAAUCCUCUCUUGUUGUUAGAGGCCCAGGGGUUCUGUUAAAUUUCAUAUACCAGUCCAGACGACUUUUAGUCAUGUAUUCAAAUAUUUUACCUAGACAUGAAGAUAGUGAUAUUGGUCUAUAAGAGCUGGCAAGUUUUGAAGGUUUAUCUGGUUUGAGUAUUGGAAUCACACAUUGUGUAGUCCAUUGUGCGGAAUACAUUUACAGUGCCAAAGUAAAUUAAGAAUAUUAAGAAAGUUUUUAUGCUGAUUCAUCUAAAUUUUUAAUAAAUCUAUAGGGUAAAUUAUCGAAACCAGGUGGUUUUCCGAGAUAACAAACUCAUUUUAGAAUCACUCCAUGUAAGAGGAUCUAGUAAACAUUUGGAAUUUAGGCUGUCAUUAUUUAACUCGAUAAUAUUGCCUAAACUACCAACAUUUAAAUUGCUAUUAUCGGACAUUUUGUCUAGAAAUUCAGAAACAAAACACAUUUCUGUAUGUUUUAUUACCAGCUUUUAUACCUUUGAACAUUUUAAGGAGAUUCCAAAUCUUACUUCUGGGAGUAGUUCUAUUGAAGGUUUUACAUAAGUUAUCCCAACCUAUUCUUUUUUGUUCAGAUAUAGUUCUUUUUUAAGUGCAUCUGUUCUUUUGUAAUCUAAAUAAUUUUCCAUAGUAGGUUCAUUUCUAUAAAGUUUCAAGGCAUUGUAAGAGGCAAUACUCUUUUUUCACAAAUGUCAUUCCAACAGGGAGCUGGAGGUCUGCUCUUAAACUUAUUUGGUUUAGUGAUUUUAGGAAUUGUCAUAUCUUUUAAAGUCUCUAAUCAGGAACAAAAAUCAUUAUGGGUUGAAAUAGGAUCAUGAAAUUUUAGUUCUAAAUCAUUAAAUAUUGUUUUGUAAAUAGUUUGAUAUUUUGUCCAAUCUGCUUUUUUAUAUAUAAACCUAUAAAUGGUGGGAUUAUUAUUUUUUCUUAUUAUUAUUUCAAUACAUAUUAUGUAGUGAAAUCUCUGUAAUUGUUGGGUAGUGAUAGCUACCCAUGGCAUCAUCAUGUAUAAACCACUCGCUUAUUGAUGCGAGGUUAGCACUUAUAAAGCUAACAUCAAUUGGCCGUAGUUAUACAGAAAGAAUCCAACCCACACAGAAGUAGUUAUGAGAUAUUUAAGUUUUAAGUUGGACCCAUUUACGCAAACAAGAACCAACCCACAGCAGGUUAGUGUGCAAAAUGCAUAGAUAUUAUAAUAAUGAAUGAAUACUUUUAAACCUAUUUGGGAUACUGUAACCUAUCUAGGACUAUCUGAUUUAUAUAGUUUAUGUAGUCACAGUAUAAACUAAAUCUUUAAAAAUCCGGUUGGUUCUUUCUUGCAAAACAUAAUUUGUUGCUUAGUUCCUUCUUGCAAAAUGGACCUAAGAUUUCUUUGUUGUGAUAUUUCUAAAAAUAAAAGUAAUUCAUUAUAAUUA